rnacentral:rRNA from 1 species
UACGUAGGGGGCGAGCGUUGUCCGAAGUUACUGGGCGUAAAGCGCGCGUAGGCGGUCCUUUAAGUUGAUUGUGAAAUCUUCACGGCUCAACCGGAAAACUGCGGUCAAAACUGGAGGACUUGAGAUUGGGAGAGGGAAGUGGAAUUCCUGGUGUAGCGGUGAAAAUGCGUAGAUAUCAGGAGGAACACCGAUGGCGAAGGCAGCUUCCUGGCCCAAAUUCUGACGCUGAGGUGCGAAAAGCGUGGGGUAGCGAACGGGG